ACACUCACACACAAGCACUCAUGCCGUCCAGCAGUCGAGGACACAGGUACCAUGACCCUGCCCGAGGACAACCUCCACACUGAAUCCCCCAACAACAGACACCUUUACUACAACUGAACUUCAACAACAUGAUGAGGAAUCUCUGAGGGACUUUUUCUUCUUUUUUCAACCUUAUCAUAUUUGAAUCGUCCUCAACCUCAGGGAUUGUUACAGGAACAUGAGUGUGAAGAGGAAAAAGGCUGGGCUGGUCAUCAGCUGGCAAAAGUCAUUCUCCAUCCUGGCUCCUUGGAGGAAAGGCACAGCAGGCAAGUUCCAACCCUCUGGGUUCAGGCCUGGGUUACCUGGAGCACAUCUGCCAACUCAUUGAGAAGAUGGGCCAGCUGCAGGAGACCAACCUCCGGCUUCAGAGGUACAUCUGCAGCCUGCAGAAGGACGGCAGGAUGUCUAAGACCAAAGAGGACUUUUUCCAGCAGCACUGCAGCUGUGGUGCAGCUGACCUGGCCACCCAGGACGUUCAGAAGAUACACUCCAGAAAUGAGUUUUUGUCUCCCAGUGGAACCCUGUCUGACCUGUCCACCAUCCAUGAGGUCACCCGGCAUCCGUUCAUAUCAACCAGUAGAGACAUGAGCAGUGAGGGUUUGACACCCGUCCCACUGUGGAGGAGAGGCUUGAACCGUAGCAGUUACACUGAGGGGGAGGUACGCUUCCUCGUGGACAGCACCGAAGCACUCUCCAUUCCCCAGCGCAGGCUAAGUGAAAACUAUACAUGGGGCCGAGUCAAAGACCUGGUGAGGAAAACUAAGUUGAGGAACCAAAGCAGGCUGGGACUGACUCCCACCCCACUGAAGAUGUCCUGCCCACAACUCUACAUGCCUGAUCUGGAACCAGAAGAACCUGCUGGCAGAAACAGGAACUCCAUGAUUGCCUUGGGUCACCAGAGCAAAUUGGAAUUCCCUUGGCUACAAUAAACACCCAGACCAGGUCCUGUUAGUCUCACAUGGAGAAGAGGAGGACGCCAUGUAGGUACAUAGAGAUGAUUCAAGACUGGAAAAUAAACCAUGAAGAAGGAAAAGAAGGGAAUGAAGAAGAAGGAAAAAACUGACGUAUUAAAGGAAAGGACUUCUGCAUCAGAGAUGUUUUUGCUGCAUGUAAGGGUGAAAAGUGUUUACGUGAAACUCAAACUGUAUAUGCGGUGUACAUGUUCGCACAAAAUUAAGAUGAGGCUUAUGUGUAAUAUGAUCUACACUGACAUAAUUUAACUGCAUUAUACAUUCUCUGUUGAUAAUAUUGACAUUUAUAUAGUUUCCAUUAGAAUGCGUCAAAAUCUGUAACAAUCCAACUAAUAUGAAACAUACACAUAUUUCAUAACUUUUUAUUGUAUAUGAUAUUGUAAAUGUUAUAAACAAUUGAGAGUCUGCUUUGUAUAGUGUGUGUGUAAUGUUGCUUAAGAGAACAACAUUACCGAAACCAAUAAAUCAAGAAUAAUGCAGACUUGAUGCCAUGAUUGGCCAGGUGUGUUUUCCCCAAGGAAAGGACUGCAGAACCCCACAAAAGACAGGCAGUUGUUGAGUGGGGAAGCCCCUCCUUUGAGUCAAAAGUGUUCCUACCAUCCAGAAAAGCUAGAAACACUUUUACACGUCAUACAAACAAAGGAAAGUAAAAUGGAGCCUCAAAGGUCUACUUUCUGUCCCUGAUUGAUGCAUGUCAGUAGUGAUAGUCGGUCAGAAGCAGCCACUACAGAACAGAAAGCACCAGGUUGCCAACCCAUGCUAUUCCUUUCAACCAGACUUUGUCAAUAAUCCUCUUUUAUGAGACAAU
rnacentral:lncRNA from 1 species